UUAGCUCAUUUAAAUCUUAUAAACAGAUUUAAACUUUACUUUCUAUUUAGUGUUUUCAAGUGUUUCAUUUUGCUGAGUAGGAAAUCAAACCAAUAAUUUAAACAAUCUGAAGAAACCUAGCUAAGUAAACUUCUAGAUAUUGUGACCCUCCACUUAUCCUAAACAUUCUAACACGGUUGAUAUACUUUCUAAAAUUCUAUUAUACUUUCCAACUGAAAACCUCAAGACAAAAUCAGAUGCUCUAGAAUAUUAGGACUAAUCUGUUGGAUUAACUAAUUGGUUGGAAUGCCAAAUUCUUAAAUUUCAAAUUAAAACAGAGAUGUUAAUGUGUCUGUCAUGGGCUAAAUUUAGUAUAUUAUAAUUUACCCUAAAUUUCCCAGAGUUAAAGACACUUACAAAAAAAAGUUAACUUUUCUUCUGAGCAAAGUGGAAUUCCUAUAUUGGUGGACAGUACUGGCCUAAGCUAAAACCUAAAAUUAUUACUUUUUAAAGGUAAAUUUUUUUAAAAAAUUGAAAUUGGUCCAUGUGCCUGGGAUUCUAGUAACUGAUUAAUUUUUGUUUAAUUUGACUCUGAAUCUCUCCAUCCAGGCCACCAAAAUCAGGUUGUUUCAUCAUGUGCUUGGAUUAUUCUGGUUGAUAAUAUUCUGGAUUCUUUUAAUAGUCUCCACUUUUGUUGAUGAACGUUGAGGUUGCUGU
rnacentral:lncRNA from 1 species